AGUUCAGAUCGCAGUCUGCAACCCGACUGCGUGAAGUCGGAAUCGCUAGUAAUCGCGGAUCAGCAUGCCGCGGUGAAUACGUUCCCGGGCCUUGUACACACCGCCCGUCACACCAUGAGAGUCGGGAACACCCGAAGUCCGUAGCCUAACCGCAAGGGGGCGCGGCCGAAGGUGGGUUCGAUAAUUGGGGUGAAGUCGUAACAAGGUACC
rnacentral:rRNA from 1 species